GUGAACGCUGGCGGUAGGCCUAACACAUGCAAGUCGAACGGCAGCACAGGAGAGCUUGCUCUCUGGGUGGCGAGUGGCGGACGGGUGAGGAAUACAUCGGAAUCUACCUUUUCGUGGGGGAUAACGUAGGGAAACUUACGCUAAUACCGCAUACGACCUACGGGUGAAAGUGGGGGACCGCAAGGCCUCACGCGAUUAGAUGAGCCGAUGUCCGAUUAGCUAGUUGGCGGGGUAAUGGCCCACCAAGGCGACGAUCGGUAGCUGGUCUGAGAGGAUGAUCAGCCACACUGGAACUGAGACACGGUCCAGACUCCUACGGGAGGCAGCAGUGGGGAAUAUUGGACAAUGGGCGCAAGCCUGAUCCAGCCAUACCGCGUGGGUGAAGAAGGCCUUCGGGUUGUAAAGCCCUUUUGUUGGGAAAGAAAUCCUAUCGGUUAAUAACCGGUGGGGAUGACGGUACCCAA
rnacentral:rRNA from 1 species